rnacentral:misc_RNA from 1 species
AAUGGCGGAUACAAGUGUAGCGAUCGCCGAAUUCAAAGAUCGAGGCAUUAGACGGAAGGGAGCCGGACGGUCGCGUCGUUUUGGCUAGACGUCUUCGUCCCUGUACCACGGUCGGAGAAUUCGAAGCUGGUACAAUAGGGGGCGAGCCGCGGACAGGCUAUGUUUCAUUCUAGUACGUUUCACGAUUCUACCGGCAAAAGAAUACUUGCACCACGGUAAUUGGAAGGCAUCAAUCUUCGUAGGAAGAAGUAUAACGAUCCUCGGUGAUAUAGUUUCCGUUGUUCGAAGGUCUCGAGGCUCGUUGGAACAGGGACCCGAUUGGGCGAGUACAAACCAAUCAUUUGACCUAUUGGAUCCGAGAAAGGGUGGAAGGGAUCUACGGGGGAGGGAAGAGCGGGAAAAAGGAGAUCGGCUCGUUCGACAAAGGGACUCCGAAUAAAUGAGACCGUCGAUAUAAACCGACGUGGAAAGCGCGCUUAGACAGG